CAAAAGUGGCGCAGAACCCCUGCCGGCCUAGGUCCCCGCACGCAGAACGGCAGAGCGACGCCGCCUCGCCUCCAUCCCCGCCGCACAUCGCCACCCGGCACGAACCCCAAAGCACGCCGCGGCGGUCGCCCACAGCCCAGCAGCAGGCAGCAGGGCGGUCCGAGGCCGAGGGUUUUAGAAACCACCACCCGAUCGGUACGGCCGCACGCACCCAUUCAACCGUCCGUCGCCAUCGUCUUCUCCACCGAGUCGCCAUUCGCCAAAAGAAAAAGGGAAAAACGUCCGCGGGGGAGAGGUGGAAGAGAGGUGGGAGCGAAGGAAAAGCUUCCCGAGUGAAGAAGUGUUUCCCAAAGGUGUGGAUAAGGCCGACGCCCGACGCGGUUGGAGGCUCCGGCUCCCGAGAAAGUGGGGGGCUUUGUCGCGGGCCUAGCUCCGGCGGAGGAGGACGAGGCCUGCUGGUGGACUUGCUCGCCCGCCUAGGGUUUUGGGCUGCCGGCCGGCUUGCUCGGAGGCCGCAAGAUGUAACUGCAGUUGUGGCGCUAGAUGCUAUGUCAAAUGGCUGGCUCACUUUGGCAGCUUGUCCAUUUGUCAGUUGCAUACACCAAUUGAGAUUCUACUGCUAUGUUUCUACAUUGUUCUGAGGUCCUGAGCCAUUAAAAUUUGGCGAAUAUGUCUAAUGGCUACUGAGAGUGCUUUCCGAUUGAUUGGUGGGACGGGGGCUAGGGACUGGAGUAAGGGAUUUGGUGCAUUUGGCUCUUCAGCAGGUGCCUUAUCAGGGGAAGACUUGGGAUUUGUGGAUAAUGACACUGGGGUUUAUGGGGGCUGGAACAAAUCUGUUCCAAAUCGUAGUGGAAGCGCACCGCCUAGCAUGGAAGGAUCUCUUGCUGCUCUUGGCCAUCUCAUUGAUCAGCAGAGUGGGAGCUUUGAAGCUAGUUUGACAACCUUGGAUAACAUAACUGACAGUUCCAAAUCUGAGGAGCAACUACGUGCUGAUCCAGCAUAUUUUGAGUAUUAUGGCUCCAAGGUGAAUCUGAAUCCAAGGCUCCCUCCGCCACUUAUUUCAAGGGAGAGUCGCCGAUUAAUGAACCGUGUUGGCAAGGCUAAAGAGUGGAGGAUGGUCUCCCAAGAUAACAGCAGCAAAGGCUCAAUAUACGUUCCUCGAUCUAUGUUGUCAACUCACAAAGAAGAACCUGAGGAUGAUAAAUCUCCAAGAUUGGAUUCAAGUUCAGUGGAGGAUGCCCAGAUUGUCUCCAGUGCAUCCAACUUUCAGAGCCAGGAUUUUAUGCUGGAGAGGUUUCAACAGAGUGUUGCUUCUUCGCCUGAUAGUUCAUCUUCUAAUCCUUCAAAUAGCAACACUGGUGAUUCUAUGCCUGUAUAUUCUGACAUAAAUUUGUUAAAGAGUUUGUCAUUUGAUGCUUUGAAGCAAUCGGAUUUGAACUCUUGGACACCAAAAGGCCCACUGAAAAGUAAUGUUAACAAUGACCUUUCAUCGCCACCCCUUUCCAGUUCAUCAUAUCCUGGUAGCAAAACUGGUACGCAAACUUUUGAGCAAGAAAAGGCUGCUGCUGACACCAAACAUGGAAAUGUUGUGCUUGGCAGUGGCGCAGCUGUUACUGAAGUUGAUAAUGUGGACUCCAUUAUGAAGAAUUUGAAGUUAAGUUUGGAUGUCCAUACAUCCUCACCUGCCAAGCAGAGGUGGCAGGACAAUGUCUUGCAGCAGUAUGGUUCCUUUUUACCAGCCCAAGGUGAUCCUAUUCAAUUGACUACUCAAGGACCCCAUCCUCCUCAUGUACCUUUUGUUGAUAACUUGUCUCAUGCUCAGCUCAAGUUGCCUGACAUCCACCAAAAUUUACCACAACCUAGUAUGACAACACCUUUCUAUACACCAAAUUCUUUUGGGAACCCUUAUUAUCAGAAUUUGCACCCUGCUAAUGCUUUUCCAACCUCAAUUGGAACUGGGGGUUAUGCUGUAAGUGGUUCUAUUUUGCCACCGUUUAUGGCUGGCUAUGCUCCCCAAGGUCCUCUUGCUACACCUCUUGACAGUUCUAUGACUCCAAGCUUUAGUGGCAGGCCAUCUGGAUUUCUUCCAGCAGGGAAUCUUACAGGGGGAACAGAUUUUAUGCAGUCAUGUAAAGUAUACGGACAAUUUGAGCCUGGUAUGCAGCCAUCCAUUCCCGAUCCGAACUUCAUUCAUUUCUUUCAGCAUCCCUCUUUAUUUCAGUAUACUGGAGGAAAUCAAUACAAUACAAUGGGUCCAAGAUUUACUGUUGUUGGGAAUUUAGCUGAAAGCUUUGAUUCACAAAACACGAUACCUCAAGCUGCAUCUGCAUAUCCAUCUGAUCAGAGGCUUCCACUGCCAAUAACUGGCUUUCCUAAUUCUCCUACAGCCAGAAGAGGAGGGACUGUUCCAAAUUAUCAAGGCAUUUCAUCCUACAUUGGAGUGCCAAUGACUUAUCCUACUAGUCCAGUGUUUCAGGGACAAACAUUGCCUGGAGUAUUGCCUCCUGUUAGGAGAAACGACUCUGCUGGAUUUCUGCCCCCCUCAAGAAACAUCACUGGUAGCCCUGGAAUUCAAGGGCAGCGAGCAAGACAGAAGUUUGAUGAAUCAAAGACCUGCUCUUUCUUAGAAGAGUUGAAGUCCAACAGAGCGCGCAUGGUUGAGCUUUCUGACAUCACAGGCCGUGUAGUUGAAUACAGUGCUGACCAACAUGGUAGCCGAUUCAUCCAGCAGAAGUUGGAAAACUGCACCGCCGAAGAGAAGACAUCUGUGUUUGCCGAGAUUCUUCCUCAUGCUUCAGCAUUAAUGACUGACGUUUUUGGGAAUUAUGUGAUCCAAAAGUUUUUUGAACAUGGAACUCGUGAGCAAAGGAGGGAUCUUGCCACCAAGCUUGUUGGUCACGUUUUGCCUUUGAGUCUUCAGAUGUAUGGCUGCCGUGUAAUCCAGAAGGCUCUGGAAGUUAUGGAACUUGACCAGAAAAUAGAUCUAGUUCAUGAGCUUGAUGGUCAUAUUAUGCGAUGUGUCCGUGAUCAAAAUGGAAAUCACGUUAUACAGAAGUGCAUUGAGUGUGUCCCCACAGAACAUAUUGGUUUUGUAGUGUCUGCUUUUCAGGGACAAGUUACUAGCCUUUCAAUGCAUCCAUAUGGCUGCCGUGUAAUUCAGAGAAUCUUGGAGCACUGCGGUGGUAACUCACAAGGCCAGUGCAUAAUAGACGAGAUAUUACAGUGGGUGUGCAUCCUUGCGCAGGAUCAGUAUGGCAACUAUGUUACACAGCAUGUUCUAGAAAGAGGAAAAGCUCAUGAGAGGAGCCAAAUUAUUACUAAAUUGGCCGGGCAGGUUGUUACCAUGAGCCAAAAUAAAUAUGCAUCAAAUGUGAUAGAGAAGUGUUUUCAACAUGGUGAUAUUGCGGAGCGGGAUCUUCUGAUCAGACGGAUUGUGGAGCAGACAGAGGGCAACAACAAUUUAUUGGUCUGUUUGGUAGUGUAGUAAAAGUGUUCCCUCCAUUAUCCCUUCCUCUCUUUGCCAAACGGGUCGGGGUUCUGGAAGGUAGGGCUAGGACAUGGGGACCUGAUCUCAGUUCGGUACAGCCAAUCAGAUAACACCAUGAGUAUCUCAGUUCUGCUAUUCCAGCUUUCUGGGAGCUGCGAAUCCUAUGGAUUACCAAGACAUGGGAUCUCUGUAAACUUAUUUCUUCCUGUGUUGAUGUUAGUUUAUAUUUCCUAAUCACCUUUUAUAUUCAAUCAGGCAAUGAUGAAGGACCAGUAUGCUAAUUACGUGGUCCAGAAGAUACUUGAAACUUGCAACGAGGAUCAGCGGGAGCUUCUGCUCAGCCGCGUAAAGGAUCAUAUGCAAGCAUUGAGGAAGUACACAUACGGCAAGCACAUCGUAAGCCGAGUCGAGCAGCUCUGUGGCGACGGAACUGCCGAGUCAGGUUCUUGAAACGAACCGCCGCCUAAUUCUUCAUAGGCUGGAGGGUGUCCUGCUCUUUUGCUCAUUCCGUCAGUGACGAAGAAAGCAAAACGGAUCAAGUCUAACUCUGGCGCUUCAGAACAGACUAACAAAGCUGUCGUCGAAGAUUGUAUAGGUGUGACUCUGUUCAGGGAUAGUCUUCAGGUUCUAGAACAGAAGGGUAGUGGUGUGCAUCAGUGUAUCUGUUUACUGGAUAAUAGUGGUUGGUUAGGUGUGUGCAGAAAAAGUUUAGUGCUAUGCUUUGUAUGUGAUACAUAUUAACUAUGCCUUGGAAUGUUCAUAUGUUGUCCUGAUUACGUGUGAUAUCUCUCGUUCAGUUCAA